rnacentral:lncRNA from 1 species
ACAGCUCCAGGACUAACUCGGACUUGCAAGGCAACACACCAGCAAAGCUUUCUGUCUCCAUCUCUGAGCAAAAGGAGCUUCUCCAUCCCCACUGCCUGGAGUAACUGUGUACCCGAUGAUGAUUUUGCUCACAUAGCUUUGGAGACCUUGGUCUCCUCCCUGUGCCACCUCUUGUCUGAGCUGAGGCAUCCUCCCACAUGGAGAAAGGAGCUUCAAAAAUCACUGGUCAAUCCAUUCUUCUUCAUGCCUUGUCAGUCCUUGCUAAGAGGGGGUGUGAGACGUUCCCCCCCCCAUAAGUCACGACUUAGGCGAACCUCAGGAUCAUCUUCUCAUGAUGGCUUUUAAAAAGGAAGGCUUUGCCUUCCUUUGCUUCAGCCUUUCAGUGAUCCUUUGAGAUCCCCACGUGUUUUUGACCAUUCCUGAGCCCCAAGCUGGAAUUUCUAAAGCACUACCAGCAGCAAGCCCAAGCAAAACAGUGAUGGCUGAGAGCAGAAGGAAGCAGCGUGUGCUCAUAGUGUGGAGAACUGCGCAUGCAGGUAAGCUCUGAACAAUUUCUGAUUUUAUACUUUGCCAGUGUGUUAUUUAUGCUCUUGGAUCAUGAGGCACAUCUGCUUGGUCAGCCUUGAAAGUGGCUUGGCUCCAGCAAUCAAGACAAGCAGACCAAAGCAUUUCCAAAUUCUUGGUCAUGUUUGAGAUCUCCCUGCGUUCCUGGCUGGGUUAUGUGAAUG